GUUCACCCCUGGGUCAGGUCAGUCUGAGUUAAUUAACUCUUUCUGGCCCUGUCACCUUCCAAUGAAAUAUUGUAUUACACUCCUAACAUCACAAAGGGGAAUUAGCAACACUUAGAGAGGGGAAUCCUCCCCUCCCAGGCUGUCUCUGUAACAGGUCCUCCCUUCCUGCAGGAAGGAACCAUUGGGCAUGCUCCAAGUGCUAUACUAGUAUAAAAGGGAGCAGCCCGGCUCAGUCUUUGGGGUGGGCGGCGGGGGACUGAUGGAGAGGAAGGACCUUUGGUGGAGGCUCCAGCUGAGGAGCUGUUACAGCACUUGCCUGUGGGAGCCAGAGAUCUGUGGCCAAAGGAGCCCCAGGGAAUUACCUGCGCUGAGGAGCCCAGAGACCCAGUGCUCCAUGGACUGCAACUUCAGGAAGCACGGUAUGAAGUGACCAGGAAGGGUGAACAAGUGGUAUCUCCCUCCAGUGUGAGGUCAGUGUCUUUCAAUGGAUUCCCCACUGACCCAGUGGCAGACCACUCCAUCACUGUUAGGCCCUGGGUCAGGGCCUGGUGGAGUAGGGUGGGCCUGGGCCCCCCUACCUGGACCACCACUGCCCCUGGUGGCAGCCCCUGGGGUGUUGGCCACUAGGCCACACUGCCCUGUAUUUGAGGGCUGCUGUAUUGAUUCUGGAUGCUAGGCCAUGCUGCCCUGAACACAAGGGCUGCUGUAUUGCCUCAGACCCUUGGACCUCAGCAUGGUGAGCCUGAGGCCCAAGACAGGUACAGAGUAACUGUAGUGUCCACACACCCACUCUCCCCCCCCCAACAGGAGACAGGGUGUGCAUACACUGCCACAUCAGCUUUCUGAAGUACUUUGUUUGUUCUGCUGCUCUCACUCCUUCCCUUCCUUAGAAUCAUGAAAUCUGUCAUUUCAUGAUCACUUUCACCCACUGGUCUUCAAAAUUCAGAUUCCCAACCAAUUCCUUCCUGUGAAUAAGAAUUAAGUCUAACAUGGCUGUUCCCCUUGUUACUUUCUGCACCUUGGAAAUAAGAAGUUCUGUCCAAUACAUUCUAAGAAUGUUUUGAAAAUUUUAUGUUUUGCCAUAUUACUUUUCCAACAGAUAUUGGGGACACUGAAGUCCCCCUAUUAUUACCAGGUCUUGUCUUUUGGAUAUUUCUGUUAUUAGUCCUCUAAAUGCCUCAUUGACCUCCCCCGGACUUGUUGUUCUAUAGUAGACCCCUACCAUGACAUCACCUCGGUUUUCCCCUUUUAUCUUUACUCAGAGACUUUCAACUGGCCUGUGUCUCACCUUCUGGACCUCAGAACAAGUGGAUAUAUUAUUGGUGUAUAACACAACACCUCCUCCCUUUGUUCUCUGCCUGCCCUUCCUGAACAAGCUGUACCUCUCUCUACCAAUAUUCCAGUCAUGAGGUUUAUACCACCAAGUCUCUGUGAUGCCAAUUAAGUCAUAAUUUAGCCUAGAUACUAAUACUUCCUGUUCUUCUGUUUAUUCCCUCCUUGCAUUUGUGUGUAGACAUCUGAGAUGUAGAGCAGGUUCCCACACAGUUACCUCUCUUGUUGCUUCUAUGAUCCUAUAGUUAUUUUCUGUUCCCACUCCCCCAUCAUUUCUUUUAAAAUCACCUGUGGGAUUUUAUCACCUGCCCCUUUUAGAUCUAGUUUCAAGCCCUCCUCAUUAGGUUGGCAAAUCGGUGUGUGGUUCCUUCAUCCUCUACUAUAGUCCAGUGUCCCCAACCUCCCCUCUGCUCCGAGCCUCACCAGUGUCCCCAUGACACCCAGUGUGGCCCCACCUCACCCCAUAGUCCCUUGUGUACUCUGACUUCUCCCCCUUGCUACCCCUCCCCGUCAGGUUCCCCAGUGCCCCUGCACAGAAGAUAGGAGGUGACCAUCUUCCCUGAGGGCAGCCCAGCUCCUGACCUCUUGGGAGGGGAGACAGUGGUAAUUUUUACUAGGACAGCCUCCCGGCCACAGACAAAGGGGGCGAGGGAGUGGCAGCUGUUACAUUCAAUGGGGCUGAAGCCACUCAGUUGAAAUAGGAGAUAGUGGCCAUUCUGAGAGAAGUCAAAAGUUCACAGGAUUUUUGAGAUCUGGAGAAGCUGGAAUGACGACAACUGACAUCUGUUUCCAUUCUCUUCUCCAAAACAGCCUCUCCCCACCGUGGCCUCUCUCCCCAUCCCAUCUCCUCUCUCCGAUCAGGAAUAAGAGACAGCUCCUGUCCCAGUGACUGGCAGCCCUUCCAAAGCCAUUGCUACAAGUUCUUCCCCCAAAGGAUGACCUGGUCAGAGGCUGAGGUGCAGUGUCAGUAUCUCCACAAUGGGGCCCAUCUCGCCUCCAUCCUCUCUGAGCCAGAAGGGGACAUGGUGGCCAGAUACAUCAUCCAGUCAGGCUCCAAGGAUGAUGUGUGGAUCGGACUCCAUGACCCCAACCACAACAAACGCUGGAGGUGGACAGAUCGCUCCAUGUUUUGCUACAGUGAUUGGAAAAUUGGGGAACCAAACAACAAAGGUGGCAAUGAGUACUGUGGUGAGCUAACAAAAGACACAGACUCUCACUGGGCAGGAUUUGCUUUUCCAUUAUCUGCUACUGAAAGAGUCGCGCAUCCAAUCACGGAGCGGGAGCAAUGCCAUGUGACCUGCAUGACUAGUCACACACACAGCAAAUAGUAGAAGUAUAACAUUUGCAAAACCAGUGCGCUAAUGGGAAAGAGCGUGAACUUCACAGCAAUUCAUCCUUCGUGCUGUCCCUUGGGGAGAGAUGCUGCCCCUGGGCCACACACAAACCCAGAGGUGUAGGAGAUGAAGGUUUUAAGGAAUGGAACGAUAACGUCUGUAGCAAGCAAAGCGCCUACAUUUGCAAGAGAACACUCUAGCGAG